UUAUUGGGGACGAAAUUUCCUAUUUAGUAUGGAAUGAAAACCUAAAUAAAAUAGGGGACCAAAUUGCUAAACUGUCGAAUUAGGUUAGAAAAAAGCAAUUAAAAAUAAAGCAAAGUGGCGGUAUUUCUUUUGAUGUAAAAAUCUUACUUCUUUUGUGUAUACAAACAAGUGAUACUCUAGGGCAUACUCCCAUUGUUGAACACAAUGUUUAGAAUUUUCUCAUCAAAAUUCAUGAAUACAAAAUUAGAUUAAGGGUUUCAUUUGGGGAAUCAGAUUUAUUUAGUGAGCACAAUCGGAUUUGGAGAAUCUAUUUCUUUCCAAGAACAUUGUGGGUCAUUGUCUUCAAAUGGCGGGCACACCUAAAAAUGUAAGCAGAAAAUUGCCACUGACACUUAAAAAAGCAUCCAACUAAUCAAGGGAUAAACGAUACAUAUGAUUCAGAUGAAUAUCUUCCUAAUGAGAGACGCUCAGUUGGCGGUACGUAUUUUUUAAAAUGCAACAAAUUUGUUGGAAUAUAUAUAAAGUAGAUAUGAUAAUGACUUAGUGUUUGAGAAUGAGAACCGCUUAUCAAACCAAAAAAUUUAGGUUGGCCAUCUGAUGUCACAUAGAUCGGAGAGGUGUGAUAAUGCGUGUAUAUGUGCCUCUGGAACUUCCUCAUUUUGUUUGCAAUUUUUCAUGGGAGUCCUAAAAACCAAAUAGGCAACUGUGGAAGCUUUAAACUUGUGUUAUAUAAAAUUGCUUCUUUUUACUUUUACUAAAUGAUGGGUUGAUUUGUGGCCACGCAAAUACUUGAAUCAACAUUACAUUGUAGGACCAUUUCACAUUCCUUCAAUCAAAUAUUUUGCUGCCAAAGGUUUUCUGUU